UACGAAGGGGGCUAGCGUUGUUCGGAAUUACUGGGCGUAAAGCGCACGUAGGCGGACUAUUAAGUCAGGGGUGAAAUCCCGGGGCUCAACCUCGGAACUGCCUUUGAUACUGCUAGUCUCGAGUCCGGAAGAGGUGAGUGGAAUUCCGAGUGUAGAGGUGAAAUUCGUAGAUAUUCGGAGGAACACCAGUGGCGAAGGCGGCUCACUGGUCCGGUACUGACGCUGAGGCGCGACAGCGUGGGGAGCAAACAGG
rnacentral:rRNA from 1 species